CAGGCAGAUUCCGAAAAGCCUUUGAUAUAGAGUAGGAG
rnacentral:ncRNA from 1 species